AUCCUCUCAGGGUCGCCCCUGGAGAGUUUCCAGUACUCUACCAGUCUUGACUACAGGAGGAAGAGUCAAGCAGAGACAUACCCAUUCCAUUCCUAGUUUGGCCAGUGUCUAGCUAGUGGAAGGCAAUCUGCUACAAGU
rnacentral:snoRNA from 1 species